AGGUAAUACUGUCCUUACAGUAUUAUAUCAUCUAGUCUAAGUCAUUAUAUUAUUGGUGGAAAUAAUGAUGAUUGUGCUAUUUUGUCUUCAUUUACUCCUUUUCAGACUUGCAGGUGAAGGAGUCUCCUGGCACAGAGGAAGGGAAGGUGACACUGACCUGUAGCACCACCUGUACUCUAACUGACAACCCCACCUACAUCUGGUACAAGAACGGACAACUUCUUACCAACCCAAACACACAAGAUAACUUCCUCUACCUAGACCAAAUCAGCAGUGAGGACGCAGGAAGCUACUCCUGUAGUGUUAAAGGCUACCGUUCUCCUGUUACGUUUGUUGGGGAACCAAAGUCUUUGAAGAAUGCAGUUGUAGGAAUCAUAGUGGUUAUUCUGAUUCUCAUACUCUGUCUGUUUGGGUUCAUGUGGUUCAGGAAGAAGACCUCCAAAUCCACCACUGACACAAGAGACAGAAGAGACACAGCAGAGAAUGGACAGAGAGACUCUAAUCCAGUGUAUGACAACAUCUCAGGCAUGGCCAUGACCCCUACUGCAGCACAGAGAGCGAUCACAGACGAGCAGGAUGACGUUACCUACGCCAGCAUCCAACACAGAAACCAGGAAGUGCCUCCGGACUCCACCUUCCCACUAUCUCACCCCCAGAAACAGGACGAGGAUUUCCAGUACGCUACUGUGAAAUUCAACAGCCCCAGUGCUGCUCAAUAGACAUUGGAUUCAAUCCAAUCAUAGGUUAUAGGCAUUGUUGCUUUCAAUGUAGUUCUUCUUUUUUGAAAAAAUGCUUUUGGAAAAUGCUAUAUAAUUCCUCAAUUAGAAUGUCUUUAAUUUUGGCUUGAAUUAUCCCUUUAAAUUAAAGUAUAGGCCAAACUGUUCAGUACAUAUUCUACUGUUCUAUUAUGGUCAGAGGGGAUAAAAACGGUUCAUUUUUUACAGUAACUUCUUUGUUGUCAUAUCUCAAACGGACAGUUUCAGCAUUAAGGAUGCCAGCUUUAAAUAACACAAUAUAACCAACUUUAUUCAUGAGGUCUUAUAGUAAAUGUACUAUAAAUCACAGUAAUUUAAACAUCCCAUCCAUGCACCACACUAAACCUACACAUGUCUGUGUCUGAAAUGUCAUCCUAUUCACUACAUACUGCCAGGUCACAUUUCAGACACAGAUAUCCUCUUUAACUGUUAAGGGCCAAACAAAUGAUACCAGUGAAACAGGUUGAAGGUUGUAGCUGCUAUGACACCUUGUUUAAUGACGUGAGGUACUCAAUAAAUGACUAAAUACAACUAAACACAUGUUCUUUACAUCAGGGGUGGAGCAUGGAAAUGACAGAGACGCUGCAAUAAAAGCUUCUGUUUAUGUUUUGUAUCUUGGCAACAAUAUAUAGCAGCCAUAAAUCAUUAACCAAUGGAGCGCUCUACACAAACAAAACUAUCUUCAGCGCUGUCGCUCAUACAACAAGCUGUCCAAUGAUAAUAUUAAAUCUUUGUGUUCCAAUAAUUACAGAAGUGUAGGGAGUUUAUCCUAGCCACCGUGCUUCUACACCUGCAUUGCUUGCUGUUUGGGGUUUUAGGCUGGGUUUCUGUACAGCACUUUGAGAUAUCAGCUGAUGUAAGAAGGGCUAUAUAAAUACAUUUGAUUUGAUUUUAUUUGUAUAGCUGAGGAAGGUGUGCUCAGGAAGACAGAGAGGAUCUGGAGGGAGAUGGGAACACUUACAAAGUUCCACUGAAUUUAGGUAAGGCCACACUGUCCCCUCUCUCAUCCUUCUAGAGCACGCCAACCUGUACAUGGAUUAAAGGGAUCUCUGGACACAGGGAAACAACAGACAUUUAAACACAAAACCCCGCCCCACACACAGACAGCACCUGGAACUAAUCUAAAUUCAUUGAUGUCACACCAGGAACUC
rnacentral:lncRNA from 8 species